rnacentral:rRNA from 1 species
GAUGAACGCUGGCGGCGUGCCUAAUACACGCAAGUCGAGCGAACAGAUGAGAAGCUUGCUUCUCUGAUGUUAGCGGCGGACGGGUGAGUAACACGUGGGUAACCUACCUAUAAGACUGGGAUAACUCCGGGAAACCGGGGCUAAUACCGGAUAAUAUUUUGAACCGCAUGGUUCAAUAGUGAAAGACGGUUUCGGCUGUCACUUAUAGAUGGACCCGCGCCGUAUUAGCUAGUUGGUAAGGUAACGGCGUACCAAGGCGACGAUACGUAGCCGACCUUAGAGGGUGAUCGGCCACACUGGAACUGAGACACGGUCCAGACUCCUACGGGAGGCAGCAGGAGGGAAUCUUCCGCAAUGGGCGAAAGCCUGACGGAGCAACGCCGCGUGAGUGAUGAAGGUCUUCGGAUCGUAAAACUCUGUUGUUAGGGAUGAACAAAUUUGUUAGUAACUGAACAAGUCUUGACGGUACCUAACCAGAAAGCCACGGCUAACUACGUGCCAGCAGCCGCGGUAA